rnacentral:rRNA from 1 species
GAUGAACGCUGGCGGCGUGCCUAAUACAUGCAAGUCGAGCGAACAGACGAGGAGCUUGCUCCUCUGACGUUAGCGGCGGACGGGUGAGUAACACGUGGAUAACCUACCUAUAAGACUGGGAUAACUUCGGGAAACCGGAGCUAAUACCGGAUAAUAUAUUGAACCGCAUGGUUCCAUAGUGAAAGACGGUUUUGCUGUCAAUUAUAGAUGGAUCCGCGCCGCAUUAGCUAGUUGGUAAGGUAACGGCUUACCAAGGCAACGAUGCGUAGCCGACCUGAGAGGGUGAUCGGCCACACUGGAACUGAGACACGGUCCAGACUCCUACGGGAGGCAGCAGUAGGGAAUCUUCCGCAAUGGGCGAAAGCCUGACGGAGCAACGCCGCGUGAGUGAUGAAGGUCUUCGGAUCGUAAAACUCUGUUAUUAGGGAAGAACAAAUGUGUAAGUAACUAUGCACGUCUUGACGGUACCUAAUCAGAAAGCCACGGCUAACUACGUG